AUUGAACGCUGGCGGCAGGCCUAACACAUGCAAGUCGAGCGGAUGAAGGGAGCUUGCUCCUGGAUUCAGCGGCGGACGGGUGAGUAAUGCCUAGGAAUCUGCCUGGUAGUGGGGGAUAACGUCCGGAAACGGGCGCUAAUACCGCAUACGUCCUGAGGGAGAAAGUGGGGGAUCUUCGGACCUCACGCUAUCAGAUGAGCCUAGGUCGGAUUAGCUAGUUGGUGGGGUAAAGGCCUACCAAGGCGACGAUCCGUAACUGGUCUGAGAGGAUGAUCAGUCACACUGUAACUGAGAAACGGUCCAGACUCCUACGGGAGGCAGCAGUGGGGAAUAUUGGACAAUGGGCGAAAGCCUGAUCCAGCCAUGCCGCGUGUGUGAAGAAGGUCUUCGGAUUGUAAAGCACUUUAAGUUGGGAGGAAGUGCAGUAAGUUAAUACCUUGCUGUUUUGACGGUACCAACAGAAUAAGCACCGGCUAACUUCGUG
rnacentral:rRNA from 1 species